rnacentral:rRNA from 1 species
GAUGAACGCUGGCGGCGUGCCUAAUACAUGCAAGUCGAGCGAACAGACGAGGAGCUUGCUCCUCUGACGUUAGCGGCGGACGGGUGAGUAACACGUGGAUAACCUACCUAUAAGACUGGGAUAACUUCGGGAAACCGGAGCUAAUACCGGAUAAUAUAUUGAACCGCAUGGUUCAAUAGUGAAAGACGGUUUUGCUGUCACUUAUAGAUGGAUCCGCGCCGCAUUAGCUAGUUGGUAAGGUAACGGCUUACCAAGGCGACGAUGCGUAGCCGACCUGAGAGGGUGAUCGGCCACACUGGAACUGAGACACGGUCCAGACUCCUACGGGAGGCAGCAGUUGGGAAUCUUCCGCAAUGGGCGAAAGCCUGACGGAGCAACGCCGCGUGAGUGAUGAAGGUCUUCGGAUCGUAAAACUCUGUUAUUAGGGAAGAACAAAUGUGUAAGUAACUAUGCACGUCUUGACGGUACCUAAUCAGAAAGCCACGGCUAACUACGUG